GGCCCAAUUGCCCCAUAUCCCCUCCCAGUCCAUCCCAGUCCAUCCCAGUAUGGCCCAGUCGCCCCAUACCUCCUCCCAGUCCAUCCCAGUAUGGCCCAGUAUGGCCCAGUCACCCCAUAUCCCCUCCCAGUCCAUCCCAGUCCAUCCCAGUAUGGCCCAGUCGCCCCAUAUCUCCUCCCAGUCCAUCCCAGUAUGGCCGGUCACCCCAUAUCUCCUCCCAGUCCAUCCCAGUCCAUCCCAGUUGCCCCGUAUCCCCUCCCAGUCCAUCCCAGUUUCCAUCCCAGUCGCCCCGUAUCCCCUCCCAGUCCAUCCCAGUCACCCCAUAUCUUCUCAUAGUGCUCUCCCAGUCCAUCCCAGUCCAUCCCAGUCCGUCAUCCCAUAUCUCCUCCCAGUCCAUCCCAGUCGCCCUGUAUCCCCUCCCAGUCCAUCCCAGACCAUCCCAGUCACCCCAUAUCUCCUCCCAGUACGGCCCAGCCGCCCCAUAUCCCCUCCCAGUCCACCCCAUUACGCACCGGUGGACUCAUCAGCAGCCAGGAUGCCUUUGCCCGGCGCCACGAUGCGCUUGGCGAUGUCGUGCAGCUCCUGCUUCUGCUCCGGGGUGAGCGCUGGGUACUGGUGAGGCAUGGCGGCGCUGCUACUGGGCAAACUGGGAGCACUGGGAGGGGAGACGAUGCAAUGCGCGUUGGCGGCCGCUAGAGGGCAGUAGGGAGUAGUGGGAGGACCGCCACUAGGGGGCGCUAUGGAGCGGUGGGAGGACCGCCGCUAGGGGGAGCUAGGGAGCAACGGCAACACUGCCGCUAGGGGGCGCUAGGGAGCAAUGUCAGGGUGACCACUAGGGGGCAGUAGAGAGCACUGGGAGGACCGCCACUAGGGGGCGCUAUGGAGCGGUGGGAGGACUGCCGCUAGGGAGCGCUAGAGAGAAAUACUGAACAGAAACCCAUAGGGGGCAAUGGAGACAUGGAGACCCAUAGGGGGCGCUAUGGAGCAGUGGGAGGACCGCCGCUAGAGGGCGCUGUGGAGCAGUUGGAGGACUGCCGCUAGGGGGCGCUAUGGAGAAAUGGGAGGAUCGCCGCUAGGGGGCACUAGGGAGCAGUGGGAGGACUGCCGCUAGGGGGCACUAGGGA
rnacentral:lncRNA from 7 species